AACUGAAACAUCUAAGUACCCCGAGGAAAAGAAAUCAACCGAGAUUCCCCCAGUAGCGGCGAGCGAACGGGGAGGAGCCCAGAGCCUGAAUCAGUGUGUGUGUUAGUGGAAGCGUCUGGAAAGGCGCGCGAUACAGGGUGACAGCCCCGUACACAAAAAUGCACAUAUUGUGAGCUCGAUGAGUAGGGCGGGACACGUGGUAUCCUGUCUGAAUAUGGGGGGACCAUCCUCCAAGGCUAAAUACUCCUGACUGACCGAUAGUGAACCAGUACCGUGAGGGAAAGGCGAAAAGAACCCCGGCGAGGGGAGUGAAAAAGAACCUGAAACCGUGUACGUACAAGCAGUGGGAGCCUCUUUAUGGGGUGACUGCGUACCUUUUGUAUAAUGGGUCAGCGACUUAUAUUCUGUAGCAAGGUUAACCGAAUAGGGGAGCCGAAGGGAAACCGAGUCUUAACUGGGCGUUAAGUUGCAGGGUAUAGACCCGAAACCCGGUGAUCUAGCCAUGGGCAGGUUGAAGGUUGGGUAACACUAACUGGAGGACCGAACCGACUAAUGUUGAAAAAUUAGCGGAUGACUUGUGGCUGGGGGUGAAAGGCCAAUCAAACCGGGAGAUAGCUGGUUCUCCCCGAAAGCUAUUUAGGUAGCGCCUCGUGAAUUCAUCUCCGGGGGUAGAGCACUGUUUCGGCAAGGGGGUCAUCCCGACUUACCAACCCGAUGCAAACUGCGAAUACCGGAGAAUGUUAUCACGGGAGACACACGGCGGGUGCUAACGUCCGUCGUGAAGAGGGAAACAACCCAGACCGCCAGCUAAGGUCCCAAAGUCAUGGUUAAGUGGGAAACGAUGUGGGAAGGCCCAGACAGCCAGGAUGUUGGCUUAGAAGCAGCCAUCAUUUAAAGAAAGCGUAAUAGCUCACUGGUCGAGUCGGCCUGCGCGGAAGAUGUAACGGGGCUAAACCAUGCACCGAAGCUGCGGCAGCGACACUAUGUGUUGUUGGGUAGGGGAGCGUUCUGUAAGCCUGUGAAGGUGGCCUGUGAGGGUUGCUGGAGGUAUCAGAAGUGCGAAUGCUGACAUAAGUAACGAUAAAGCGGGUGAAAAGCCCGCUCGCCGGAAGACCAAGGGUUCCUGUCCAACGUUAAUCGGGGCAGGGUGAGUCGACCCCUAAGGCGAGGCCGAAAGGCGUAGUCGAUGGGAAACAGGUUAAUAUUCCUGUACUUGGUGUUACUGCGAAGGGGGGACGGAGAAGGCUAUGUUGGCCGGGCGACGGUUGUCCCGGUUUAAGCGUGUAGGCUGGUUUUCCAGGCAAAUCCGGAAAACCAAGGCUGAGGCGUGAUGACGAGGCACUACGGUGCUGAAGCGACAAAUGCCCUGCUUCCAGGAAAAGCCUCUAAGCAUCAGGUAACAUCAAAUCGUACCCCAAACCGACACAGGUGGUCAGGUAGAGAAUACCAAGGCGCUUGAGAGAACUCGGGUGAAGGAACUAGGCAAAAUGGUGCCGUAACUUCGGGAGAAGGCACGCUGAUAUGUAGGUGAAGCGACUUGCUCGUGGAGCUGAAAUCAGUCGAAGAUACCAGCUGGCUGCAACUGUUUAUUAAAAACACAGCACUGUGCAAACACGAAAGUGGACGUAUACGGUGUGACGCCUGCCCGGUGCCGGAAGGUUAAUUGAUGGGGUUAGCGGUAACGCGAAGCUCUUGAUCGAAGCCCCGGUAAACGGCGGCCGUAACUAUAACGGUCCUAAGGUAGCGAAAUUCCUUGUCGGGUAAGUUCCGACCUGCACGAAUGGCGUAAUGAUGGCCAGGCUGUCUCCACCCGAGACUCAGUGAAAUUGAACUCGCUGUGAAGAUGCAGUGUACCCGCGGCAAGACGGAAAGACCCCGUGAACCUUUACUAUAGCUUGACACUGAACAUUGAGCCUUGAUGUGUAGGAUAGGUGGGAGGCUUUGAAGUGUGGACGCCAGUCUGCAUGGAGCCGACCUUGAAAUACCACCCUUUAAUGUUUGAUGUUCUAACGUUGGCCCGUAAUCCGGGUUGCGGACAGUGUCUGGUGGGUAGUUUGACUGGGGCGGUCUCCUCCUAAAGAGUAACGGAGGAGCACGAAGGUUGGCUAAUCCUGGUCGGACAUCAGGAGGUUAGUGCAAUGGCAUAAGCCAGCUUGACUGCGAGCGUGACGGCGCGAGCAGGUGCGAAAGCAGGUCAUAGUGAUCCGGUGGUUCUGAAUGGAAGGGCCAUCGCUCAACGGAUAAAAGGUACUCCGGGGAUAACAGGCUGAUACCGCCCAAGAGUUCAUAUCGACGGCGGUGUUUGGCACCUCGAUGUCGGCUCAUCACAUCCUGGGGCUGAAGUAGGUCCCAAGGGUAUGGCUGUUCGCCAUUUAAAGUGGUACGCGAGCUGGGUUUAGAACGUCGUGAGACAGUUCGGUCCCUAUCUGCCGUGGGCGCUGGAGAACUGAGGGGGGCUGCUCCUAGUACGAGAGGACCGGAGUGGACGCAUCACUGGUGUUCGGGUUGUCAUGCCAAUGGCACUGCCCGGUAGCUAAAUGCGGAAGAGAUAAGUGCUGAAAGCAUCUAAGCACGAAACUUGCCCCGAGAUGAGUUCUCCCUGAGACUUAGAGUCUCCUGAAGGAACGUUGAAGACGACGACGUUGAUAGGCCGGGUGUGUAAGCGCAGCGAUGCGUUGAGCUAACCGGUACUAAUGAACCGUGAGGCUUAACCUU
rnacentral:rRNA from 2 species